CAAGCGGUGGAGCAUGUGGUUUAAUUCGAUGCAACGCGAAGAACCUUACCUGGUCUUGACAUCCACGGAAGUUUUCAGAGAUGAGAAUGUGCCUUCGGGAACCGUGAGACAGGUGCUGCAUGGCUGUCGUCAGCUCGUGUUGUGAAAUGUUGGGUUAAGUCCCGCAACGAGCGCAACCCUUAUCCUUUGUUGCCAGCGGUCCGGCCGGGAACUCAAAGGAGACUGCCAGUGAUAAACUGGAGGAAGGUGGGGAUGACGUCAAGUCAUCAUGGCCCUUACGACCAGGGCUACACACGUGCUACAAUGGCGCAUACAAAGAGAAGCGACCUCGCGAGAGCAAGCGGACCUCAUAAAGUGCGUCGUAGUCCGGAUUGGAGUCUGCAACUCGACUCCAUGAAGUCGGAAUCGCUAGUAAUCGUGGAUCACAAUGCCACGGUGAAUACGUUCCCGGGCCUUGUACACACC
rnacentral:rRNA from 1 species